GAGGGUAGUGGUGUAGUGGAAGCACGUCAGUCCCAAGAACUGCAGGCGAAGGUUCGAACCCUUCCUAUUCUCUC
rnacentral:tRNA from 1 species